GACGAACGCUGGCGGCGUGCUUAACACAUGCCAGUCGAACGGAAAGGCCCCUUUGGGGGUACUCGAGUGGCGAACGGGUGAGUAACACGUGAGUAACCUGCCCUUGACUUCGGGAUAACUUCAGGAAACUGGGGCUAAUACCGGAUAGGAAUCCUUGCUGCAUGGUGGGGGUUGGAAAGCUUCGGCGGUUUUGGAUGGACUCGCGGCUUAUCAGCUUGUUGGUGGGGUAGUGGCUUACCAAGGCUUUGACGGGUAGCCGGCCUGAGAGGGCGACCGGCCACAUUGGGACUGAGAUACGGCCCAGACUCCUACGGGAGGCAGCAGUGGGGAAUAUUGCACAAUGGGCGGAAGCCUGAUGCAGCAACGCCGCGUGCGGGAUGACGGCCUUCGGGUUGGAAACCGCGUUCAGCAGGGGCGAAGCUUGUGGUGACGGUACCUGCAGAAGAAGCACCGGCUAACUACGUG
rnacentral:rRNA from 1 species